rnacentral:tRNA from 1 species
GAUGCUGUAGCCAGAUGGGAAAAGGCAAAGGUCUGCAAAACCUCAGAAUGUUGGUUCGAAUCCAAUCAGCAUCG